rnacentral:lncRNA from 1 species
AGGAGUUAGCCACAGGGAGGGCCGCGGGCCUGGGCUGAGUUGUGGGGGAGGAGACAAAGGGGUGUGAGCCCGCCUGGGGAUGAGGCCUGGUGUGGUGGCAACUGACCUUAGCUUCGCGGGCUGACAGCUCUGGCCCAGGGCGGUGGCAGUGCUCCCUUUUGGACUUUUCCUGUAGGUUCCGUGCUAACCUCUUCUGUGAGCUCACUCUGCCCCUCCUCCUCCUCCUCCUCCCUUUAACUCCCUCGAGGUUCCCCAUUGGCUUAAGCGUUGCUUCUGGUAAUCUGGUAAGCCCGGGAAGUUGCUCCAGUCCCUGUUGGAGUCGGUACUGCUGUGUUCAUCAUGGCGAGCUGAUGGCACCAGGAGGAUGGAGCCCCUGGCCAGUGUGAGUCCUAGCAGUGCAGGAGGGGAGACCCUGGAGGAGAGAGCCCGCCUAAAUUGAUGUCUGCAGAUUGAAUUUCCAGAGGCUUAGGAGGAGGAAGUUCUCCAAUGUCCCGUGUCCAGGCCUUGGCUCAGGAAGCCUUGUAUUCAGGAGGCCACCCUUUAAGGGUGUCAAUGAGCUUGUGAGAGGGUGAUGGUUCCAAGUCCCAAGCAGAUGCAUCCGGGGUCGUCAGCAGAUGUGUUGAGUGUUUGAUCCGGAGCACCAACCUCUGGGCACGUUGAAUGCCAGCAGGCACCUCUCCUGUUCGGGGGUGGAGGUUUUCCGAUGGCUGCGUCUUCUAAUGCCUCCUGUCAUGCUAGUUCUGUGCUACGAACCUUGCUUCCAGAAGACUCUUAAGAUGUAGAACAUUUUAACGCUGAUGCCUCAACGCAGAGUGAUGCCUGGUAGAUGGAGCUUGCAGAUGGAGCCCAGGGACCCUGUCAUCUACUCACCUGCCUGCCCCAGCCUCGGUCGGAGGAAUUCUUAGUGUGAUGAUGUAACCUGUGUGUCCAGAAAGUGUUCACUGUUGAAACGCCUUAGGCCAAUACUCACAGGAAGCCACCUGGCAAACUGAGGGGGUCAUUGUGUUGUGCUGUGGUCUGGGAGGGUACAAGGUGGUGCUGCGCAAGUGGGGAUAGAAAUGCAGGUCUGGUUUGGGCAUUCCUACUACAAGAAGGGUGUGGUCAGGGUACUGAUAGUGAUCUCUGCUCCAUCUUGCCCUAUAUACUUUUUAACUUGAAUUUUAUUUGAUUAGAUUUCAAAGUAAUUUUAGUCUUCAAAUGAGGGGACCCCGAGGUGAGGGAUUGGGAGGGAGGGGAUGAUUUGGCCCUGGCGCUGGGGACGGGGAGGGGGGGAAAGAAAGGGAGAGGGUUGCGAUUAGAUGUGGGUUCUGUAGGGUGGGAGUGGUUGGGAGUGUGGGUCGGAGGGAAUUUUCUGGAGAAAAUAUCAAUAGGCAGAGCUCUGGGGAGUUACGUAGAGCUCGUGGGAGAAGAAAAUGUUAGUUAAUAGUAAAUUGUUAACACUAGUUGUUGCUUGGAAGCGCAAAAGUUGCUUGCAAAUUUUCUAAAAUGCUUAGAACUCUUAAUUGCAGGAAGGAAAGCAAAAUUGUUUUGCUUUGCAAGAUGGGGAGGACUGGAAAAGGUAACAGCCUGGUUAUCAGUCACUUGAAAGACUGGUGUCAGGAACUUGCAUCAGCAGAUUAACAUCUUUCACCGCUUUGCAAACUUCAAAGUGGUUUAUCUGAAUGUGUGCAGAAUCCCGAGCAGUCUUAAGACUCUAAAUACCCAAAUUGAGGGCUUUUGAAGUAUUAUGUUUCAGAUUUUGGUGUGCACUUAAGAUGGUCAGAUGUACUUUUCUGGGUUUGUAACAUCUUAGCUGAGGUUUUGCAAUUGAAAACUUGAGCAGAGUGAAAAUGGUUUCUAGAGGAAUUCCGUAUGUCAUCUCCUGCCUUAUUAAACACAUCUCUUGUCUUUGUGAUUGGUACUACUACCAGCAGAAGUUUUUCCCAUUAACCUUUUUGUCCUUGUUGUGACAAGAAGAACGUAAUAACCUUGUGACCGCUGUCGUCACUGUAUGUUUGGUAGCAAAUAGUCCAUGUAUCCUUGAUAAGGUUUCAGUUCAUAAUCCGCUGUAUCUUUAGUUUGAAUGUUUGUGCUUUUUAAGUGACCCAGUACUUCAUGUGGGAAACUAUUAAACCAAAAUCAGUUUUGGAAAUGAGAACAAAACUAGGGCUGGGCAAGUGCUUUAGAUACGGUCUGUAAAAAUCCAGGGGAAGAUCUGAACUCUUAUGAUACUUGUUUUCUGAGAUGCACCUAUUUAAUUGGUAAAGUAACAGCUGUGGCUUUUUAUCAUCUCCCUUUUCCCCUUAAAUUUACUUUGAAAAUUUUAAAUCCCCACUACUUAUUACCCUUGGGAGUUACGUCUUCUGGGUUCUUUGGUGAUGUUUAAAAAUAUGUUGACAUGUAGUUCAAUUCUUAACCUGUGACUUGGGCAUGAUGCGGUGACUCAUUGGAAUUUGAAGAGCACCAGUCACGCGUGUCGGGAAAUAUGUUGCGUUAUGCUGUUGUGAAAUCGAAACUGUAAAAGUAGGUGGUGAAAAUCACGUCUCUGUUGCUCUGUGUGGUGAGAACCAGUCCUGUUGCAUCAUGUAUGAUGACUAAUCAUUUUUCUUCCCCUUCACAGCACAAAUAAAGGUUUGAGUUCUAAACUCA